rnacentral:tRNA from 1 species
GGGGGCGGUUGGUGUCCGGUGGCAUCCACGGUCUUCAAAACCGCUGUCGGAUCAGUUUGGUCCGAGGUGGGUUCGACUCCCAUCCACCCCCGC